rnacentral:rRNA from 1 species
UCCUGGCUCAGGAUGAACGCUGGCGGCGUGCUUAACACAUGCAAGUCGAACGAGGGUUGCUGGUUGAAGUUUCGGAUGGAAACCGGUAAUUCCUAGUGGCGGACGGGUGAGUAACGCGUGGGGAACCUGCCCCCGCUCCGGGGGAUACCAGCUGGAAACGGCUGUUAAUACCGCAUAAGCGCACAGUAUUGCAUGAUACAGUGUGAAAAACUCCGGUGGAACGGGAUGGCCCCGCGUCUGAUUAGCCAGUUGGCAGGGUAACGGCCUACCAAAGCGACGAUCAGUAGCCGGCCUGAGAGGGCGACCGGCCACAUUGGGACUGAGACACGGCCCAAACUCCUACGGGAGGCAGCAGUGGGGAAUAUUGCACAAUGGGGGAAACCCUGAUGCAGCCGACGCCGCGUGAGUGAGGAAGUAUUUCGGUAUGUAAAGCUCUAUCAGCAGGGAAGAAGAUGACGGUACCUGCACAAGAAGCCCCGGCUAACUACGUGCCAGCCGCAGC